rnacentral:rRNA from 1 species
CAGUCGCCGCGGGAAUACGUAGGGUGCAAGCGUUAAUCGGAAUUACUGGGCGUAAAGCGUGCGCAGGCGGUUUUGUAAGACAGAGGUGAAAUCCCCGGGCUCAACCUGGGAACUGCCUUUGUGACUGCAAGGCUAGAGUACGGCAGAGGGGGAUGGAAUUCCGCGUGUAGCAGUGAAAUGCGUAGAUAUGCGGAGGAACACCGAUGGCGAAGGCAAUCCCCUGGGCCUGUACUGACGCUCAUGCACGAAAGCGUGGGGAGCAAACAGGAUUAGAUACCCGAGUAGUUCCUGUCUCUUAUAC